CGCCUGAAAAAAAUCUCUCCAAACCUUCACGAAGCUUUUUCUUGAUUCCUCCUCGCGCCGUCGCUUGCGUUAGGGUUUUUUUUCAUCUCUUCCUUCUCGUCGCCUCCAAGGUACCUCUCACACCUCCGAUCGAUUUCUUGCCUUCACUUUGUGCAUAUUCCGGUCCGUCGGCGUCCCUUCUCGUUCCAACUACGGUACGAGAUUUCGUUUUUAAGUUUGCUUUUACAUCUGGGAAAGAUCCAACAUCCUCUCAUCCGAAUCUUUAAAGUGGUUCGCCUGAAUCCUGAGGCAGUUAAUCUCUCGUUUAUAUAAAAAAGGGUUUAUAUUCGUCCGCGGGUUCCUAUACCAUGGCGGCCGGUUACUCCGAGGAUUCCUAUGAUAGCAGAAGCAGCCAUCGAAGUCACGGAGCUGUCGCCGCGGGUUAUGACCGUCGGAACGGCUACAGUCCACCGGUUGCUAGGGUUUCAAAACCCUUCCGCCAAAGAUCUGACGGAAAAGAAGAAAGUGAUCAUGAGAGGAGACGGAAAAGAAGGCGGAGUGCUAGAGAUAGCGAGAGCGACGGCGAGAUGAAGAGGGAAGGGAUGCGGCGCGUUGCAGAUGAUGAGGACAAUGGCGUUGAUAAGAGGGACAGGAGACGGCGUGGAAGUGAAGAAGACAAAGAGGAGGGAAAGAGGGCAAGAAGGCGCUCUGAGAAUGUAGACAGGAGUCCGCGGAGACGUAAGCAUGAAGAUGGUGGCAGAGUCCGUGAUAGAGAUGACCGCCGCAGGGAGAAGAGAGAGGAUAGUCCACCUCGGAGACGAGAUGCCCGCUCAAGAGUACGAAAGGGUACCCCUCGGCGUGAAGACAGUGAAGGAGAAAGUGAUUGGUCGGAUAAGGAAAAAGGUACACGAAGACGGGAAAAUCACAAGGAACGCAAUGAACGCCAUGAAGAAAAACCUGCAGAGGGAGAUAAGUUACCUAACCAGGAGAUAAAGAAGCUAGAUAGUCAGCCUCCACCUAUGUCAGAUUCUAACAUGGGAAGGACGGGGGGUAUUUACAUCCCUCCUCACAGAAUGGCGCAAUUGAUGCGAGAAGUGCAGGAUAAGAGUAGUGAAGCUUACCAGCGACUGAGCUGGGACGCUCUCAGAAAAAGUAUCAAUGGUUUGGUGAAUAAAGUCAAUGCUACCAAUAUCAAGAACAUUAUUCCUGAGCUCUUCUCUGAGAAUUUAAUUCGUGGAAGGGGGCUUUUCUGCCGAUCAUGCAUGAAGUCUCAAAUGGCUUCUCCUGGAUUUACUGAUGUAUUUUCUGCAUUGGUUGCCGUCGUUAAUACUAAAUUUCCAGAGAUUGGUAGGCUUCUUGUGGUGAGAAUUGUCUUGCAACUCAAGAGGGCUUAUAAAAGGAAUGACAAGCCUCAACUACUUGCUGCGACUAAGUUCAUUGCCCAUCUUGUGAAUCAACUGGUGGCACAUGAGAUCAUUGCUCUGGAGCUUCUCACUAUAUUAUUGGAAAACCCUACAGAUGACAGUGUAGAGGUAGCUGUUGGAUUUAUCAAGGAAUGUGGUGCAUUACUUCAAGAUAUUUCGCCUCAAGGACUCCAUGGUAUCUUUGAACGUUUUCGUGGUAUACUUCAUGAAGGAGAAAUUGAUAAAAGGGUCCAGUUUCUGAUUGAAGGCCUUUUUGCUAUACGAAAAGCAAAAUUUCAGGGAUUUCCUGCUAUUCGUCCAGAACUGGAUCUUGUUGAGCAAGAGGACCAAUUUACUCAUGAGAUAUCACUUGAUGAAGAGAUUGAUCCGGAGACUAAUCUUGAUGUUUUUAAGGCAAAUCCUAAUUUUCUUGAAGACGAGAAGGCAUAUGAGAAUCUGAAGAAAACCAUUCUUGGGGAUGAGUCUUCUGAUGAUGAAGAAGAUUCUGAUGCAGCUUCAGAGGAUGAAGAUGAAGAUGAAGAAGAAUCUGAGGAAGAGGAUGAUGAGAUGAUGAAGAUAAAAGAUGAAACCGAGACAAAUCUUGUCAAUUUGCGAAGAACUAUAUAUCUUACAAUCAUGUCAAGUGUUGAUUUUGAGGAGGCUGGACAUAAAUUGUUAAAAAUCAAACUUGAGCCUGGUCAGGAGAUGGAAUUAUGUAUUAUGUUGCUGGAAUGCUGCAGCCAAGAGAGAACAUACCUACGAUAUUAUGGUCUUCUUGGGCAGAGAUUUUGCAUGAUUAACAAAGUUCAUCAAGAAAAUUUUGAGAAAUGCUUUGUUCAGCAAUAUUCUAUGAUACAUCGUCUUGAAACUAAUAAGUUGCGCAAUGUAGCAAAAUUCUUUGCUCACUUGCUUGGAACGGAUGCACUUCCUUGGCAUGUGCUUGCUUAUAUACGGUUGACUGAGGAAGACACAACUUCCUCUUCUCGAAUCUUCAUUAAGAUUCUCUUUCAGGAAUUGUCUGAGCAUUUAGGAAUUCGUUUACUUAAUGAGAGACUCAAUGAUACUACUAUGCAAGAUUCAUUUGAGUCUAUAUUUCCCAAGGAUAACCCUAAAAAUACAAGAUUUUCCAUCAACUUUUUCACAUCGAUUGGGUUGGGUGGUAUCACUGAAAACCUGAGAGAAUAUUUGAAGAACAUGCCAAGACUAAUUAUGCAACAACAAAAAUCAGUAACUGAUUCUGAAGAUGAACCUGAAAAUUCUAGCGACUCAAGCUCCCAGUCAGAUUCUGAGUCGGGAUCUAGUUCAGAUGAAAGUGAAAGAAAUAGGAGACGCUCCAAGAAGCAGAACAGGAACUGAAUUAUAUCUGAUAACUGAAAAUGGAGUGGAGAAGCUUAUAUAUCUUUUUGUGAAGUCGUGGGAAGAUGGAUGCGAGCGAUGAGUCAAGAGGGGGUGUUCUCCAGAUAUUAUUGAUAGAAGAAGAGGACGCUUGAACUGCUCAAGUGAGGAUUACAGUUAGAGAAGGAUUCUCCAAGAAAAGUCGAUGCAUCAGAUUUUGUCAUCUCUCAACGGAGCGUUGACCUCAAAUUACCCCUCAAAGUUUAAUAUGCUGUUUGUUUUAAAGAUGCCUUGCUGAGGUAUGAUCGUGUUGUGAUAUUAUUUUCUGAUCGGAGGGAUUUCAGAAUCAGCAACUUGCUUGUAGGGUUACAUAUGCUUCAAAUUCGUCCCAGGAAAUGACCAUUGUAAUUUUCAUACUAGAGAAUUUGGAUAUUGGCCUAGGCGUUUGGUUGAUUCGCUAUAAGUCGCACAGCAAAAUGUGUUCUUGUGA